CGCGUAGGUGGUUGUGCAAGUCAGGUGUGAAAUCCCCCGGCUCAACCGGGGAACUGCAUUUGAUACUGCAUGACUCGAGUACAGGAGAGGGAAACGGAAUUCCCGGUGUAGAGGUGAAAUUCGUAGAUAUCGGGAGGAACACCGGUGGCGAAGGCGGUUUCCUGGCCUGAUACUGACGCUGAGGCGCGAAAGCGUGGGUAGCAAACAGGAUUAGAUACCCUGGUAGUCCACGCCGUAAACGGUGAGUACUGGGUGUGGGAGGUGUAAUGCCUUCUGUGCCGAAGCUAACGCGUUAAGUACUCCGCCUGGGGAUACGGCCGCAAGGUUGAA
rnacentral:rRNA from 1 species